UGUGGUGGGUCCCCAGGGUUGGGCUGUUCGCCCAUUAAAGUGGUACGCGGGCUGGGUUCAGAACGUCGUGAGACAGUUCGGUCCCUAGCCGUCGCAGGCGUAGGAAAUUUGAGAAGACCUGGCCUUAGUACGAGAGGACCGGGAUGGACGUACCUCUGGUGUACCAGUGGUCCUGCCAAGGGCAUGGCUGGGUAGCUAUGUACGGAAUGGAUAAGCGCUGAAAGCAUCUAAGCGCGAAG
rnacentral:rRNA from 1 species